rnacentral:rRNA from 1 species
GACGAACGCUGGCGGCGCGCCUAACACAUGCAAGUCGAACGAGCGAGAGAGAGCUUGCUUUCUCAAGCGAGUGGCGCACGGGUGAGUAACGCGUGAGGAACCUGCCUCAAAGAGGGGGACAACAGUUGGAAACGACUGCUAAUACCGCAUAAGCCCACAGGUCCGCCUCGACCAGAGGGAAAAGGAGCAAUCCGCUUUGAGAUGGCCUCGCGUCCGAUUAGCUAGUUGGUGAGGUAACGGGCCACCAAGGCCACGAUCGCUAGCCGGAGAGAGAGGUUGAACGGCCACAUCGGGAGUGAGCCACGGCCCAGACUCCUACGGGAGGCAGCAAUGGGGAAUAGUGCACAAUGGGGGGAACCCUGAUGCAGCGACGCCGCGUAGAGGCAGAAAGUCUUCGGAUUGUAAACUCCUGUUGUUGAGGAAGAUAAUGACGGUACUCAACAAGGAAGCGACGGCUAACUACGUG